UGCGUUCUGCCCGGAAAUCCAAACUUCCCAGGUGCAACUGAGGCGUGAUUAUUGCUAAUUGAAAACUUUUCCCAAUACCCCGCCGUGAUGACUUGAAAUAUAGUCAGCAUUGGCAAUUUUUGACAGUCUCCCAGGAGA
rfam:Xenopus laevis strain J chromosome 2L, whole genome shotgun sequence.